CUCUGUAUGUUGUCUAAUGCGGUACAAAUUUUGCGGUAUAUGUGGUGGGUUGUUGCUUUUUGAUAUAAAGUGUUUUUGAAGAUAUGCAGUUGAUAUUUAAAAUUUAUAGGCGCUAAAAUACUACUUGCUGGUUUCCAUUGGGCAAAUCAUACCGAAUUAUGGCUGGUGACACAAGUGUUAAAGUUGCAGUAAGAAUCCGUCCUCAGGUUUCACGGGAAAUCAUUGACAUGUGUCACAUUUGUACAUCGGUGUCUGCGGGAGAUCCUCAGGUCUGGUUGGGUAAAGAUAAGGCUUUUACAUUUGACAGCGUUUUUGACAUGCCAACUUUACAAGAAGAUGUCUAUAACACAUGUGUGAAGAACCUGAUAGAUGGAUGUUUUGAGGGAUAUAAUGCAACAGUCUUCGCCUAUGGCCAGACUGGUUCUGGAAAAACGUACACCAUGGGUACGGGCUUUGAUCUCAAUCUUAAUGCUGAGGAAAGAGGUAUUGUUCCACGAGCUGUUGAACAUUUGUUUAGGGUUAUUCAUGAACGACAGCAAGAAGCACGAGAAAAAGGAGAACCACCACCAGAAUUUAAAGUGACCACUCAGUUUAUGGAGCUUUAUAAUGAAGAAAUCAUUGAUUUACUGGAUGCAGCAAAAGAAUCUGAUGAAAGAAUGAAAAGGUCACACAUCAAGAUACACGAAGACUCCAAAGGAGAUAUUUAUACAGUAGGGGUGACUACACGUAAUGUUACUUCCCCAGAAGAGACUCUCCAGUAUUUAAAAGUAGGAGCCUUGUGUAGAACAACGGCUAGUACAAAUAUGAACGUUCAAUCAUCUCGUUCACAUGCCAUUUUUACAAUACAUGUUAAGCAGCAGCGUGUUGUCACUUUUGAACCUCAUUUAUCUCUCUCUUCUGAUGAGAGUACAGAGAUAUCAGCUCCAACUCAGAAUGGUGAGGUGAUGAAUGAAUUUGAAACACUAACAGCUAAGUUUCAUUUUGUGGAUCUGGCAGGCUCAGAGAGGCUAAAGAGAACAGGGGCAACUGGAGAUAGGGCUAAAGAAGGAAUCUCAAUCAACUGUGGACUUUUAGCUCUUGGAAAUGUCAUCUCGGCACUAGGGGACAAGUCACGUAAAGUCACUCAUGUUCCAUACAGAGAUUCUAAACUUACAAGGUUGCUUCAGGAUUCUUUAGGAGGAAAUAGUCAAACUUUGAUGAUAGCCUGUGUUUCUCCAUCUGACCGGGACUUUAUGGAAACCCUAAACACAUUGAAAUAUGCCAACAGAGCUAAAAAUAUCAAAAACAGGGUAAUGGUAAAUCAGGAUAAGUCUAGUCAAACAAUUACUCUGCUCCGUCGUGAAAUCCAGCAGCUUCAGUUAGAGCUAAUGGAGUAUAAACAGGGGAAGAGGAUUGUUGGAGAAGAUGGAACAGAACAAAUAAAUGAUAUGUUUCAUGAGAAUACAAUGUUGCAAACUGAGAACAAUAACUUGCGAACUCGUAUCAAAGCUUUACAAGAAACGGUAGAAAGACUGAAUGUGAGGAACUCUGAGUUGCUGGCAGAAAAGGAAAUGGGAACAUGGAUUACAUCAGGAGAGAGUUCAUCACAGCCAGAUAUUACAGGAAUGAUACAAGGCUAUCUCAGAGAGAUAGAAGAUCUCAGGGCUAAGUUAAUGGAGUCUGAAGGGAUGUGUACUCAGCUUCGGAGACGUGUCCAACGAUCACCAAUUCGUCAGCCGCUAAGUCCAACUUCAGUUGCUGUAUCUGUUGUAGGCCAAUAUGAUAUUGGAGUUGAUGCUGAGCCAACAUCUGUCUAUGAACUUUUAACUGAAGCAAAACGAGAUGUACAGAAGCUGAAAAAGAAAACCAAGGUUUUAAAAGAAACUGGGGAAAAAGAAAGCGGAGUAAGUGAUAACACUGUUGAAGAAGAUGGGGAGAAAGAAGAGAAAGAUGAAGAGAUUCAGGAUGGAAUUGAAGAAAAUGAAGAAGAUGAAAGUUCCGAGACAGAUACAGAGGAUACUGCACCAGAGGACUAUAAUGAAGAUUUGGCUGAUUUGACUUGUGAAAUAAGCAUCAAGCAAAAACUGAUUGAGGAGUUAGAGAACAGCCAACGUCGCUUACAAACAAUGAGACAGCAUUACGAAGAUAAACUGCAGCAGUUACAGAAUAAGAUUAAAGAUACAGAGCUAGAGAGAGACAGAGUUCUAGCAAACAUGACAAAGGGUAUAGGAGUGCAGUCACAUGAUAAAAUUAAAAAGGUACAAGAGGAAUUUGAGAAGAAAAUUGGUGCUCUUCAGAGUGAGUUAAAGAAGAUGCAAUCAGCAAAGAAGGAACAUGCGAACCUGAUGAAGAACCAAGUUCAAUAUGAACGACAGUUAAAACAGCUGCGACAAGAAGUUGUAGACAUGAAAAAGGCCAAGGUACGUUUAGUGAACAAAAUGAAAGAUGAAAGCCAGAAACAUAAGAUGCAAGAACAGCGUAAGAAUAAAGAGAUUGCACAACUAAGAAAGGAAGGUCGAAAGCAUGAAAACAAGAUUCGAACCCUAGAAGCAGAAAAACGAAUGAAAGAAAUUGUGUUACGUAGGAAACAGGAGGAGGUAUUAGUCCUAAGAAAAAGGAAUAAACCUAUGUCUGCUAAGGUUGCAGGAAAAAUUGGAUGGGCAAGGCAUUCAUCUGCUGUAAGAAGUCUUCCUUUUUCUCCGAAAGUAGCUAAGCAGAAGUGGCAGCAUCUAGAAAAGAGGAUCAUGAAGGUGGCUUUAAAUAAGCAGAGUGUCUCAAAUGUGGAACGAGAAAUGGAAAAAUGGUUGCAGGAAAGAGAGAAGCUUGGACAUUCUUUAGAAAAAGUCUGUAGAAAAAGAGACAGAGCAAUAUUGGAUGGAAAGGGAGAAAUAGUGAUCCGAGACCUAGAAGAUGAACUUGAAAACUUAAAGGCCAACAUUGAUUAUGUCCAUGAAAACAUCUCUGAAUGCCAGACAAGUAUCAUGCAAAUGGAGGAGUCCAAGGAGAGUGAUGACUUGGAUGAUUUAGAUGUAAACAGUGUCUUAGCCAAUUUACAGAUGGAUGAAGCAAGGUAUCUUUUACAGAAACUGCUGAACAUGGCUAUCAACCAGAGCUUCCAAGUAGCCCAGAAGGAAACCAUUGUGAAGGAGAUAGAAGCCAAACUAAAACAGGUGGUGAACAGUAAUGCUGUUCAGCAACAACUUCUGCAGCAUGUUUUACACCAAGCUAAUGAAGAACUAUACAAUUAUGUUAUGGCAACUGUAGAACCAGAUCAUUUAGAAAGUGUAGAGACAUCCCGAUCAAGUUCACCCUUAGAUAGGAGUCUAAGCCAGGAGUCUGAUGCAGUGAAUACAGACACGCUUGGGAGGAGAGAAAAGGUUCGGCGGCGAACAGCAACUACACAGGAAUUAUUGUAUCCAUUAAGUGCACAGGCUUCUAGUGAGUCUGUGGUGCUGUCCGUGCCUAUGAUAGAAGAAGAAUCAGAAAGCCUGUCAUCUUCUAUAAGACAGCAGGAGUUCACUUUUAGCUACUGGCAGAAAGAGAACAUGAUGACUCAAAGUGUCCUCAUGCCCCCUCCUCCACCCCCCGUUUCAGAGGAGAAAAGCAUACCUCGAGUAAUCAGUGCUCCUGGAUCCCUCAAAGAUAUGGCUGCCAAGUUUAAACAUGAUCCAUCUCCUGCUCUGAAACACAAGACGUAUGACAAAAUUCCUCCAGAAAUAUCACCCGCCAUUCGUCGUAAAAAUGCCAGUAAUACCUCUUCAACAUUGGUUCUACAGCAGAACUUUGUUGAAGCUAGCUCUCACCUCACCAUUCCCGAUUCUCCUCCUGUUGGCCGACGUCAGCCGGGAGACAACGUUUUCUCUCGGCUUACAAGUGGCACCACUACUAACAAUCGUAAACCUGAUAGAGGAUGUAUUAACCCUUAUACUGGUAGGCCCUUAAUGGGGAAAAAUGCUCCAUUGGUAUGCACUUAUGUAGCAGAAGGUCAUAGCAAAGCUGUCUUGUCUGUGGUAGCCACAGAUGAUGUGCUUUUUAGUAGUUCCAAAGAUCGCACAGUCAAAGUGUGGGAUCUCCAGACUUUAAAAGAGAUACAAACACUUGGUGGCCAUCCGAAUAAUGUAGUAAAAGUGCGCUAUUGUGAGUACAGUAGGCUAGCGUUCAGUGUUUCCACAGCAUUUGUUAAAGUUUGGGAUAUCCGAGAGAAGCCAGCACAUUGUGUGAAGACACUAAGUUCAUCUGGAUUAACCAUUACUGGACCAAUGCAGAUUAGCACCCCAUCCAGGACCAUACAGAUGCCUCAGGGUGAAACACAGAUAAAUGAUAUUUCUCUGAAUCAGUAUGGGACACUUUUGUUUUCUGCAGCAGGCAACAUUGUUCGAAUAUGGGACUUAAGAAUGUAUCAUACCAUAGGCAGAUUGACUGGAGGUCACCAAGCAGCAGUAAUGUGUCUAGCUGUUGAUGAUUUAGGAGAAGAUAACAAUGUUGUCAUUACUGGCUCAAAAGACCAUUAUAUAAAGGUAUUUGAAGUCAUGGAAGGUGCUAGUGGUGUCCUUACUCCUAAACUUAACCUUGAACCUCCCCACUAUGAUGGAAUCCAGUCACUUGCUAUCAAUGGUGACUAUCUAUUUUCUGGCUCACGAGACAUGUGCAUCAAGAAAUGGGAUCUCGGCGGCCAGUGUUUAGUGCAGUCACUGAACCAAGCUCAUAAAGACUGGAUAUGUGGUUUAAGCUUUCUUCCAAACAGUAACACCCUGGUGAGUUGUUGUCGUGGUGGGUUUAUGAAGUUGUGGUCUGGAGACAGUUGCCAGUUGUUAGCUGAAUUAAAAGCACACAGUGCUCCUAUUAAUGCAAUUGCAACCAAUUCAUCAUUUGUCUUCACAGCCUCAAAUGAUAGUACUGUGAGGUUGUGGCACUUGCGUACCUUGCCGGAAAUGAGUGAUUUUGAAGAUGAGAGACUUUAACAAAACAUGCAAAGAAUACCCCAAGCAAGAUUCAAUUACUAGAGAAGCUACUAAUUUUCCUGUGGGAACAAAGAAGAAUCUAAAGUUGCACUUGGCUUCUUCAAUAAAAGUCAAAGUGUAAAAUGUAUAAAUCAUGAUGAGGGAUGGUGUAAACCAAAUAGUGUGUGGGACUAGUGCAGUUAAACUGGACAUUAUUAUUUAAAAAAAGCAUUUGACUGUACAUAUGAAGAACAUAAUACACCUGUAUGAAAGAUGAUGUUUCUAUUUUUGUUUUCCUUUUAAAAAUGAGUGAAAAAAAAAAGUUCAUUUUUAAGAUUAUAUGAAGUGUGUGUGUGUUUAAGAAACGCUAUUGGUUUUCACACGUUCCAUAAAAAAAUUUACAUUAUAGUGGGAAUGUAACUGAGGGUUGUCUGGUAAGAAGCUACUUUUUCAAAUGUUUUAUUUCUUGCUUUAAGCUAUUACAGUUACGAUAAUGUGAAUUUCCAGAAUUUUAAGCAUUAACACUUUGUGUACACAAUAUUUCUUCAGAGUGGAUAUUUUGUUCCUAGCAUAGAAAAAUAAGCUAAAACUAAUGUAAUUAACAUACAUAGAAUUCUGAGGAGUUUGGCAAGAUAUUAUUCAUAUGUCCUCUGUUAUCAAUAUGAAAUUUAGGAAUAUUGAAAAGAGUAGGUCUUCAUGAUUUCCCUCUGGAAUAUAGACUUAAUUAUUUAAAAUUCCAAAUUCAGAAGCUGCAUUCUACUUUGCCUUAAAUUUGAAUACUAAGUAAUGCUAAUUUUUAACAAUUAAAUUUUUUUAAUUUUCUUUGAGAUAUAAGCUAUUGUUAUUCCCAAAACUUCAAAAUUAAAUUUCUGUUCUUAUGAAGCAGAAGACACAGUUUGAGUAUCAUAAAAUUCUAAUCACCAAUUUCUUGUAAUCUAUGGCAAAAUUAUAAUUUUUUACUAAUCCAUAGACUAGUUAGUGAAAUCAUUGGUUAAACUGACUAAAAGUCAGGGUUAAGAGUAAAAAUAUAAUUGAUAGUGUUUUCCUAUGAUUCUUUUUCCCUGAUGAUACGUUAACUCAGUUAAAACAAUUUUAUCUUGACCCUGAAAUUUAGCCAUGUUUAACUCUCAGUUUAUUGUAAAGAAUGUCUCAAGUUUCAUUGCACUUAUAUUUUUUGUGGUAAUACUAAAGGUAUUAACAAAUUUCAUGUUCAAACAAGAUAUGAUGUUAGAAGUUGUAGAUUUAUUUAAGUUACUUUGAAACUUUUUUUAUUGAGCAGGGUUCAAAUUUUCCAACACAAGCAAUUUUUACACAUGAUUGUACUAGCAGAAAAUGUUAUGAAAUUCCUUGGUGGUGGAAUUUCAUGAUAUUAUGGCCAGAAAUAUUGUUAACAGGAAGAUUACCCACCGAAUGAAACAAUUAAUUCUAAUCUUUUUUAAGUAGAAAUGUAAGAGAAGUUUAUGUAAUCAGCUAUACUAAUGGCCAGGUUGAUUUUUAAUUUUGCUUUUAGUACAUAGCUUGCUCUGAUUGAAAGUUAUUAUUAAUAAACUAAUACUUAAAUGACAAAAUUUCUGAGGGUAUUUUAGCAUAGCUACCAAUAAACAAAACAGUCAAAAAAGUACUUUCAAAGUAUAAAUGUAUUAUAAAAGCCAUCACCAAGUUUCCAAUAGUGAAAUGCAUAAUUCGUCCAAAUAUAUUUCCAGGACACAAUUUUAAGAGAAAUUGGAAUAAUACCAAUUAUUUCUGGCAACAAUAAAAAAAAAAAAAAUCUUUAAUCUUUCUUUGUUGCCCAUCAUAUCUUCAUAUUCAGCAAAUAUUUUAUUGCAAUAUAAGGUAUAUCGAUCAUUAAUUUUUUGC
rnacentral:misc_RNA from 1 species